rnacentral:lncRNA from 1 species
CGGAAGUAUAAACUCACUGGUAACACUCUCCUCCACCCUCACAUUUUGGCCUUGAGAAGAGGCCUGGCUGAUGUGAUGCUGAGUUCUGAAAAAGGAAUGUGUCUACCUGUCUCAGAACUUUCUCUCCGUAUGCCUCUGCCUGCCCACACAGAUGAUGUACUUUUCUUUGCUCUGCCUUGUGCAAUAAGCUAAGAGUAGGCCUAUGGUUUUGAAGACUUUGUUUACUUUCUUAAUCAAGAAAAUCCCAACAGAUGAAUCAAAAUUUCAGAUUAUGCUGACAUUAAAUAAAAAUGUUACUGAGCAUUAGCCAAACAUGAUCCUACAAGGUGGAAAAUUAAUAAAAAAUCAGCUCCGUCCUGUGCAUUAUUUAGAUUUUGGUUUUGGUAGACAGCAUUAUAUCUAGUUUCGAUAAUUAUACUUUGGAAAGAUAUCAUGUGUGAAACAACAGGGACUCUCAUUCACUGCUGGUGGGAAUGCAAAAUGGUGACUCUGGAAGAUAGUUUGGUGUUGUCUCACAAAACAAAACAUGCUCUUACCAUGCAAUCCAACAAUCAAGCUCCUUGGUAUUUACCCAAGGGAGCUGAAAACUACGUCCACACAAAAACCUGAACACAGUUGCUUAUAGUACCUUUAUUCAUAAUUGCCAAAACUUGGAAGCAUCCAAGAUGUCCUUCAGUAGGUGAAUAGAUAAACUGUGGUAUAUCCAGACAAUGGCAUAUUAUUCAGUGCUAAAAAGAAAUGAGCUAUCAUGCCGUGAAAACACGUGGAAGCCAGGUGUGGUGACUGAUGCCUGUAAUCCCAGCACUUUGGGAGGCUGAGGCAAGUGGAUUGCUUGAACCUAGAAGUCUGAGACCACCCUGGGCAACAUAGUGAGACCUCAUCUCUACAAAUAAUAAAAAAACAAUUAGCAAGAUGUAGUGGUGCACACCUGUAGUCCCAGCUACUCAGGAGGCUAAGAUGCAAAGAAGCUAAUCUGAAAAGGUUACAUAUUAUGAUUUCAACUGCAUGACAUUCUGGAAAGGGCAAAACUAUGGAGACAAUAAAAAGAUCAGUGGUUGCCAAAGGUUAGUGGGGAGGAGCUGGGAGGGAGUAAUGAACAGGCAGAACGCAGAGGAUUUUUAGGGCAGUGAAAAUACCCUGGAUGAUACUAUAAUGGUGGAUACGUGUCAUUAUAUAUCUGUCAGAACCCAUAGAAUAUAAAACACCAAGAAUGAACCCUAAUGUAAACAAGAAACAUUGGGUGAUAAUUGUGUAUCAAUGUAGAUUCAUCAGUUGUAAAAAAAAGUAGCACUCUGGUGGAGGAUGUGCUAAUGGGGAAAUGUAUGCAUAUGUGGGGGUGGAGGGUAUAUGGGAUAUCUUUGUACUUUCCUCUAAAUUUUGCUGUGAACCUAAAAG